AUAGGAGUCCUGCUGCAGUUGAGUGUCAGCUGGGGAUUGAACUACCCAGAGAAAACACCAGGAGUACCAAUCCCCUCUGCUGGGCUCUGUGGGGUGCUUUCCUUCAAGCAAGAUCAAACCCAGGUUUUUUUGGUAGACAGCAAGCAGCCAAGUGUCACCAGGAGCAAGACUAAAAUAAUUGGACUGUGAAGAGAGACACUGAUACUGCUGCCCUUUAUUCAGAGGGAAUGAAGACUACUGGGAAUAAUUUAUUCUGAGGCCAGCAAAUUUUCAUUCAGCCAACAUUUUAUCUUCCAGAUCCUUCUCCUUGAAAAGAGGCAAAUUCAAUCAGAAUUCAGUCACUGCAGUAGUGAAAUACAAAUGCAGGAUGUUGGUGUGAGCUGCCUGUUAGAAGGGACAAUUCCUGGCAGCCUAGGAGCUGGGAGUCUGGAAACCCAACUUGGGAAGCAGGAACAUCCUUGAAAAGUGCUGCUGGGCCCUUGGAAGUACAGCUGGCCUAUCUGGAAGCUGGACAUCUUGAGUGGGUAAAUGGUUGGAGCUACUAUCAAGCUUCAUCUCUUUCCUGAGCUUUUAACAGAAUCAGUCUCUAACCUGUCUGAGGCCCUUCCCUACCUCCGGCUGCCAACAAAACUGAAAUAGAAACCUCUCCCUUAAAAAGGUGAGUCAAAAGCAGGAAAAAAACCCAGAGUGCCAGCACUUGCAGAGGGCCUGACACAACAGAUGCUUCACUACUCAUCUCUAAAAAGGCUCGUGGUGCAGUUUAUUUUACCCCAGGAGGAAUCAGUUCAGCUAAGAAAGUUCUAAUCUCAAAGGAAAACCCUGACGGUGUUGCAGAGGAUCCAACAGAGAAAAGCACCUUGGAAGGAAAUUAAAUGCAUCAUACAAGCUCCUGAAGCUUGAUAGCAGGUUAUAGGUGCACCAGA